UACGUAGGGUCCGAGCGUUGUCCGGAAUUAUUGGGCGUAAAGGGCUCGUAGGCGGUUCGUCACGUCGGGAGUGAAAACUCGGGGCUUAACCCCGAGCCUGCUUCCGAUACGGGCAGACUAGAGGUAGGCAGGUGAGAGCGGAACUCCUGGUGUAGCGGUGGAAUGCGCAGAUAUCAGGAAGAACACCGGUGGCGAAGGCGGCUCUCUGGGCCUUACCUGACGCUGAGGAGCGAAAGCGUGGGUAGCGAACAGG
rnacentral:rRNA from 1 species